rnacentral:rRNA from 1 species
UACGUAGGGGGCAAGCGUUAUCCGGAAUUAUUGGGCGUAAAGAGCGCGCAGGUGGUUGAUUAAGUCUGAUGUGAAAGCCCACGGCUUAACCGUGGAGGGUCAUUGGAAACUGGUCAACUUGAGUGCAGAAGAGGGAAGUGGAAUUCCAUGUGUAGCGGUGAAAUGCGUAGAGAUAUGGAGGAACACCAGUGGCGAAGGCGGCUUCCUGGUCUGUAACUGACACUGAGGCGCGAAAGUGUGGGGAGCAAACAGG